AUGGGAUGGACCUGGACCAUUCUCUUCCUUGUGUCUGUAACUACAGGUGUCCACUCUCAGGUACAACUGAAGCAGUCUGGUCCUGAGCUUAGAAAACCUGGGUCCUCAGUGAAGCUAUCCUACAAGGCUUCUGGCUACACCUUCCCUGAUUACAGUAUUGACUGGAUGAAGCAGAAGCCAGGAGAGAGCCUGGAGUGGAUUGGAGUUAUUUAUCCUAGAAAUGGUAAUACUGAAUACAAUCAGAAGUUUCAGGGCAAGGCCAAACUGACUGCAGACACAUCCUCCAGCACAGCCUACAUGGAGCUCAGCAGCCUGACAUCUGAGGGCUCUGCAGUCUAUUACUGUGCAAGCACAGUGUUGAAACCACAUCCUGAGUGUGUCAGAAACCCUGGAGGAGCAGGAAGCUGCCCUGAGACUGAGAUUGCAUACAAGAUUGUUCUGGAGCCUUGUUCCAGAGUAUGCUAUACCUUGACCUGCUGUUUACCUGUGACCACCUCCAUUGACAUGAAUAAUUUUUAA